UUUAAAGUAUAAGUAUGUCCCAUGCCGUAUUUGGGAUACACUUAUGCUAAAC
rnacentral:pre_miRNA from 1 species